rnacentral:sRNA from 1 species
UUAUAGUAGAUUACAGCCUGAAUAAGGCAUUGGCUGGUGAUUUUUUAAUCACCGGCCU